UACGAAGGGGGGCUAGCGUUGUUCGGAAUCACUGGGCGUAAAAGGGCGCGUAGGCGGCGCGACAAGUCAGGCGUGAAAGCCCCGGGCUCAACCCGGGAAUUGCGCUUGAUACUGUCCGUGCUUGAGGCCGGGAGAGGAUGGCGGAAUUCCCAGUGUAGAGGUGAAAUUCGUAGAUAUUGGGGAAGAACACCGGUGGCGAAGGCGGCCAUCUGGGACCGGUUCUGGACGCUGAGGCGCGAAAGCGUGGGGAGCAAACAGG
rnacentral:rRNA from 1 species